UCUCAUAUCCUCUUUAGUUGGUCCACAUAUCACUGCCUCUGCGGCCUCUACUGCCAUCACAGCACUCUGUCAUGAAAUCCAAUGUCCAAAUGAGAUAUUUGAUGGUGAUGAUAGUGACGAUCAUGUCUUAGGUUCUUCUCCUGAUGACAUCCUUGAGAGAGAACACCGGGAUGAAGGUACAGAGGCUGGUGGAGGUCCUGGUGAGUUAGGGACCUGAUAGACUGGAGAAAGUUGGAACUUGUGGUUAUGUUACAUCUUUAAUAUACUCGUCUGGUUGUUUGAAGAUAUUAUCGAUUAAUGGAAAUGAAUAUGGUUGAUUUGGUUCUUAAUGAUUGUGUAUUGUUUAUCUAUCUUACUUCCUUUGGCAG